GCGGGGAAUAAAAACAGUGUAAAUGUAAAUGCUUCAGUUAACAUUAGAGCUGGACUGGUGAAAAGUCACUCAUUCCAAGUUUUCAUUAAAAUAGUAAAAUUGGAGGUCAGGGUGAAAUUGAAGGAAAAGCGUUCUAGCAAACAGAAGUGUGUUCUGUUUUUAAAUGAAAUGGAACAAACUAACAACCGAAACAUCAUUCAACUUUUUCUGUGCUGUUUUUAAUUAUACAAACUGAAAAUUAAGACCAUCCUUACACUAGUUGCAUCAACAGAAGUCAGUCAAAACUCAAACCACUCUUCCCUAUGAAAAGUUGGGUUUUUUUGUUUUUUUUUUCCCCCUCUGAACACACAAUUUUCACAGCACUGAAAGUAUCAGCACUGCUACGGCUUGUAGGGGAGCUGUUAGAUCAGGGCUCGAAGUGGUGAUGGGGCACCUGGAGAGGGGCUGUGUCUGCCCAGGGAGAACAGAUUGUUUGCACCUGUGAUCUCCAGCUGACCAGAAGGGGUGGGCUGGGAGAGGAGCCACCCAUGGCUGGUAUAAAGGCCAGCCACUGAAGGGAGAGCAUCUCUCGGACCUGAGCUGCUUCGUGGGGAAGUGCUGUGUUGCCAGAGAGCCCCUUCACCAGCUGGAUGGAAACAAGCCACGCAGUAUGACUGACAAACUGAAGCCGAAGCGAGAACACACUGCCACAUCCCUGUUGUAACAGCGUGGAAAACAAGAUGCUGUUUGUGCUACUUAGAAUUAGGUUACGACCUGUGCUACCGCCACAACAUUCCCUACAGUCCCCUCUGGCAGAGAAACCUCCCCUGAUGGAACGGCCCAGUGGUGCAGGAGCAGUGGGGAGCCUCAGGACCAUGAGGCCCCCAAGUCCAGGUGCAUUUGUAAUCUGAGAGCCAGGAUCAUAACAGAUCUCUGCAAAAUCCCCGCUUAUUGAAUCAAGUGGUCUAGUGCAUGCUUCAGUAACCUCUGUAUUUAUCUGUUAUUCUUUUAUGCUGUACUGCUGCAUGUUUACUCGUUAUGUUUUACAAGUGAGGUCAGGCUGUAAUGUCCUGAAGGAUUUUCUUCAGCCUUUUGUUCUUGUAAAAUAACCAGUGUACAAAGUCACGUUAGUUUUCCAGAGCAGAAGUGGAAGCUAUGGAUGCAGAGCCAGCUGCUGCUGCCACCGACGACCAGAUGCACAUGUCGUACCCAACUACAUUUUGGCUCCCACUCCUCUCGCAGACCAAAUUACCACAGGCACAGGACUUCUUGGACACUGCUGUGGAAUGGGAGAGCACAGCUCAACAGGAAAGGUGGUGUUACACAUCAUGGCUUUGGUAUUUGGUGCUCUGGGCAAAGACUUGCAAGACCAGGAAAAGAAAAUCACCUGUAAGUAAUAUCUGCACUUAGUCACCUGGUACAGGCAGAUAGCACUGCUUCCACUUCUGUGUUUGCAGGCAAUUGAGCAAGGCAAUGAAUACAGUUAGACUUAGUCACAGAUUUUCAGUUGCAGCUGAAACUU